UCAGACAGAUAUUUUUCAGGUUCCAGCAAUGGAUGAAGAGGGAACUCCGUGUGAACCGGAGACGGACCCGCCGCUGUAACUGGGGACGAACGCCGCACAGAGCCACUGGCCGAAAGGUCGGGAAGGCGCGGCAAGUAGGGUGAACCAGAAGUCAGAAGACCUGCCUGAAAGAAGACAAAACC
rnacentral:ncRNA from 2 species